rnacentral:rRNA from 1 species
AGAGUUUGAUCCUGGCUCAGAACGAACGUUAGCGGCGCGCCUAACACAUGCAAGUCGAACGCGACUGGGGGCAACUCCAGUUGAGUGGCGCACGGGUGAGUAACACGUAGGUAAUCUCCCCCCGAGUGGUGGAUAACCCUCCGAAAGGAGAGCUAAUACAGCAUGAGACCACGGCUUCGAAAGGAGCUGAGAUCAAAGCGGAGGAUCGCAAGACUUCGCGCUUGGGGAUGAGCCUGCGGCCCAUCAUGGUAGUUGGCGGGGUAAUGGCCCACCAAGCCCUAGACGGGUAGCUGGUCUGAGAGGAUGAUCAGCCACACUGGAACUGAGACACGGUCCAGACUCCUACGGGAGGCAGCAGUGGGGAAUCUUGCGCAAUGGACGAAAGUCUGACGCAGCGACGCCGCGUGGGUGAUGAAGGCCUUCGGGUUGUAAAGCCCUGUGGGGAGGGACGAAUAAGUUGCGGCUAAUACCCGCAGCGAUGACGGUACCUCCUAGCAAGC